UGUCGUCAGCUCGUGUUGUGAAAUGUUGGGUUAAGUCCCGCAACGAGCGCAACCCUUAUCCUUUGUUGCCAGCGAUUAGGUCGGGAACUCAAAGGAGACUGCCAGUGAUAAACUGGAGGAAGGUGGGGAUGACGUCAAGUCAUCAUGGCCCUUACGACCAGGGCUACACACGUGCUACAAUGGCGCAUACAAAGAGAAGCGACCUCGCGAGAGCAAGCGGACCUCAUAAAGUGCGUCGUAGUCCGGAUUGGAGUCUGCAACUCGACUCCAUGAAGUCGGAAUCGCUAGUAAUCGUGGAUCAGAAUGCCACGGUGAAUACGUUCCCGGGCCUUGUACACACCGCCCGUCACACCAUGGGAGUGGGUUGCAAAAGAAGUAGGUAGCUUAACCUUCGGGAGGGCGCUUACCACUUUGUGAUUCAUGACUGGGGUGAAGUCGUAACAAGGUAACCGUAGGGGAACCUGCGGUUGGAUCACCUCCUUACCUGAAAGAA
rnacentral:rRNA from 3 species